AGUGAACGCUUGCGGCAGGCCUAACACAUGCAAGUCGAACGGCAGCACAGUGGAGCUUGCUCCAUGGGUGGCGAGUGGCGGACGGGUGAGGAAUACAUCGGAAUCUGCCCAGUCGUGGGGGAUAACAUAGGGAAACUUAUGCUAAUACCGCAUACGACCUACGGGUGAAAGCGGGGGAUCGCAAGACCUCGCGCGAUUGGAUGAGCCGAUGUCCGAUUAGCUAGUUGGCGGGGUAAUGGCCCACCAAGGCGAGGAUCGGUAGCUGGUCUGAGAGGAUGAUCAGCCGCACCGGAACUGAGACACGGUCCAGACUCCUACGGGAGGCAGCAGUGGGGAAUAUUGGACAAUGGGCGCAAGCCUGAUCCAGCCAUGCCGCGUGGGUGAAGAAGGCCUUCGGGUUGUAAAGCCCUUUUGUCCGGAAAGAAACGCCUCGGAUUAAUACUCUGGGGUAAUGACGGUACCGGAAGAAUAAGCACCGGCUAACUUCGUGCCAGCCGCCGCAGUAA
rnacentral:rRNA from 1 species